GAUGAACGCUGGCGGCGUGCCUAAUACAUGCGAGUCGAGCGAACAGACGAGGAGCUUGCUCCUCUGACGUUAGCGGCGGACGGGUGAGUAACACGUGGAUAACCUACCUAUAAGACUGGGAUAACUUCGGGAAACCGGAGCUAAUACCGGAUAAUAUAUUGAACCGCAUGGUUCAAUAGUGAAAGACGGUUUUGCUGUCACUUAUAGAUGGAUCCGCGCCGCAUUAGCUAGUUGGUAAGGUAACGGCUUACCAAGGCAACGAUGCGUAGCCGACCUGAGAGGGUGAUCGGCCACACGGGAACUGAGACACGGUCCAGACUCCUACGGGAGGCAGCAGUAGGGAAUCUGCCGCAAUGGGCGAAAGCCUGACGGAGCAACGCCGCGUGAGUGAUGAAGGUCUUCGGAUCGUAAAACUCUGUUAUUAGGGAAGAACAAAUGUGUAAGUAACUAUGCACGUCUUGACGGUACCUAAUCAGAAAGCCACGGCUAACUACGUG
rnacentral:rRNA from 1 species